AAUCAACAGCAAAAGAAGAUGUUAAAAAUAAAGUUCAUGGUUGUGAAUAAAAUUGAUUUCAAUAAUCUUUUUUAAUUAUUAUUUUAAAACAACUUUAUGUUGUUGUGUUUCACGCCAUAUUAUCAGACCACCUUAAGUGGGUCCGCCUUAAAUUUUGAGUUUGUGUGAUCGCUGUUGAUUGGUAGCUAAACUGCUGGUAAACUGUGUACAGACAUUUUACGUUCGAAUUGCAGAGAAAAAAAAAUUCUGGUAGCAACAUUGUGCAGUAUGAGCGAACCAUUUCACCAAAAAAAGGGGAAGCAAGGCAAGACGUGGCUGCAGCGGUCUGCAGACGUGACUUCUGAUCAAAUUCGAACCUAAAGAAACAAAGAGCGACAUUACAUUGCGGGAUGACGUCACCUGAAAAUGACCAAUAGCGCGGCGCGCUGCUGAGCUGUGUGCCAACCGCUCUUUUUUUCAUGCAGGAGACUCAAGUUGGCUUCGCUAACGGACACAGUUUUGAACUUGUAUAUUAGCGCCAUUUAUUGCUGCUUGGACCACAGCAUCUUCGGAAUUUGUAGACAUCCUGGCAGCUUACAAUUAGUUCGAGGUGAGGUGAGUACAUGCAACUUCAAGUUAUUUCUGUUAUCAAAAUCCAGCCCAGCGUUUAUAGAUAAUUUUAGCAGUUCGUUUUUUAUUAGUGAGGUUGUGAAUUUAGUUAGCAUUUGUGAGUUGACUUAGCAUUACUGUUGCAAGGGAAGCAUUGCUCUGGAUUAGUUUCUGUGUUUGGCGUGCUUAAUUUGCUAGGGAGGAAUUACCAAAGUACAUGGAGUUAUGUUAACCUGUAAUUUCUGUGGUAAGGUAGUUCAGUCAUCAAGGGGCUACGUGCUUCAUUGUAAACUGCAUCGGAAUGAGCCACGUUGUUUCUUUCGGUGUAUUGAAGCAGGCUGCAAGCAAACAUACACCAGGCACUGAAUUUGAGCAGAAACCAUAAGGAUACUCAAAGGACCUGUGACUCUCAGGAAAUGCAUCAAAUGAGAGGGACAGAUGAAACAGUUUCAAGACAAUGGCAGGAAAAACAUGCUGAAGAUUGAAACAAACCUUGGCUGGAAAUAUUUGAAGGUAUCUAGCCAGUCCACAAUGAAAGCUUCGUUGCACCCCAUGAGUCUUCUGGCAGAAAUGAUGGCGCCUGUAUUCUUUGGUUUCCCUAAACAUCACACCCUGCCUGUUUAUACGAGGCUCUUCAAUUAAGUCUGCACCCAAAGAUUCAAUAAGAGAGGGGAUCCUGCCAGUCCAAAGUGAACUCCUGAUGGACAUUGAAGUACUCCUGCAGAGCUUGUAUCUUCGACACCAUGCGCAUUAGAAACUCCACUGAGUCCUUUCCUUCACCAAGGCAGGACCCAGUGACUCAUUACUGUUGAUAGGUCAGGGGCAGGUAAUAUUUUGUUUCAUGUUUAUUCAUUCCUCCAUGGAUUACCAGCCAUAUAUAUGGACACAUGCUGUAUUCUCAAGAUCUAUGCUGUUUUGUAGGAAUAGAGAAAAUGAUAUGUUUAGUCUGUUUUCAAAUGGUAUGUCAAAUUUUCUCAUUGUUUAUCAGUAAUAUUCACUACCUUGGUUAUAUAUGAGCAUCUUUAGAUUUUUCUAUAUUUAGCGGUUGCAAAUGUAAAAUGUACGGUAAACCAUUUAUGUUCCUCAUAUUGUACUGUAUUUUAAGCGGUAAAAUACCGGCAGCUGUGGUUGCCAGGAAUUUACCGUAAAAUGUAUCUGGUCAAAAUAAAAUGCUGUAAUUUGUUAUACAAUUUCACUGUUUUUUACUGUCAAAGGUUUUAAUAAGGUUUAACAUAUUUCUGUUAUUUUUACAGUUAUUUACAAUAAUAGGGUCUAUCCUAUUACUGUUAAAUUAACAACAAAUUACUGUAAAUAUUAUUAUAUUAUAACUUUUUUUUUUUACUGCAAAUAUCCGUAAAAAGCUAUGGAAAGUUGCAUUUUUUACAUUAAAUUGCUGAAUAAUUGACAAAUAUAUUUGUUUUUUUUCUAUCAUGAUUUUGGUAAAAUAAUACGUUGUCUACCUUAAAAUUUAGGGUUACAAAACCAGUAUACCGUAUUGUCUUUUACAGAUUCCACAUUUUUUUCACGGUAUAUUCCUGGCAACCACAGCUGCCGGUAUUUUACCGUACAUUUGACAGUUUUUUUUUUACAGUGCAGGGUGAGGGGGGCAGUGACCCAGCCUACUCUUGCACCUUGUACCUACUCCUCAAGUGGGAGUGGCAACCGUCCGAUCCACCCCGGCACCCGUUUGUGUUCCCAGGGUGAGGCCAGCCGAGGCGCAGUAAACCUCUGAACCCUAACCAGUUUCUUGGGUGAGAGCAACUUAUGUUCGGCAGGUGCCUGGACCCAUUCCCAUCUUCACUGGGGGCUCAGGCAAGUCCAUCCAGCUACCUCUUUCGUCCAGUCACCUACAGCCUCUACGCCGCCACCUCCUUCUCCAGCUGGGGGCUCAGGCAAGUCUGUCCAGCCACUUGUGGCCUCCAUGCCACCACCUGCUUCACCAGCUGGGGGCUCAGGCUGCCCGAGGGCCUUCAUCUCCAUUGCCAGCUGCCUGCAAAGACACCUGAAGAGUUGUAUCGCCUCUGGUCCCUUGUAAGGUGUCACUGGCAAUGCAGUCAACCUCCAGGUGCAACACAUCACCACCGCCGGCCCCAUGGCUGGCCCCCUGAACUGUUUCACCUGUGCCAUCAACCUCUGGUUCGACCCCGCUCAACUGCUUCUUUCCUGCAGCCGGUCGCAAAAAUUGUUAUGUGUGGACUUUGUUUCUGUCAUGAUCCUGGGCCAUGUUGGCCCAGUAUUCUUAGUUUUCAUGUAUUUUUGUUCUGUAUUUACGCCAUGGUUCCUGGGUUGCACUGUUAAGUUGUUCCUUAUUUGAUUUCCCCUUGUGACUUUUACCCCCUGUGUGCUCCUCUGUGUAUCUGUGAGCUCUCGUUUCCCCUCCUUGUAUUUUAUUCCAUGUUUUCCCCAGCCCAUUAUGUCCGUGCUCUCCCGUGCUCUCUCUCCUCCUGUCUGAACCUCUGUGUACUUCCUGUUUUACUUUGACAGUCUCUCGUCAGUAUGCGUCAUGUUGUGUUCACUCCUGCCCUGUCUUGUUACGAUUAUCUGUGUCAGCUGUGUUCCCCAUGUGCUCCCACUUCCCUCGUUUACCCUCUGUGCAUUUAUGUCCACGUCUCCCUCAGUUCAGUGUCGCGUUCUCCCUCAUGACUGUGUGCCCCUCUGUGUGUUUCCUCGUGAGUCAGUUCCUUAGUACUUCCCAGUUUAGUUUCAUGUUAUUUUGUAUCGCCUUUAUCUUUUGUCAGCAAUAAAGCUGUAUUUUGAGUUCAGUCCUGUAUUCCCGUGAGUUUGCGUUUGGGUCCUCAUCCUGCCUGCACACAGCCUAAUCAUGACAGAAGAACACGACCUCGACAUGGACCCAGCAGCUCACAAUCCCUCCGCUGAGCUCCGGGCGGAUUUAAUUUACACGGUGGAAUACCAUUGCCAAGAGUGGGUAGCACUGCCAGUUCCUGAAUACCAGGAGUUGUUAGCCACUUGCUUACAGAGGAUGGUUUCCGGACUCCCCUGGCUAUUCGGCACGCUACACCCCCUCAUUCAGGACUUCCUCGUCUCCACCGUACAUAUCCGCCCGGAGCUGCCUCUCCAGUAUGAAGAGUCGGAGGACGUUCAGCCCGGUCCGCUGGAGGAUUUGCGGCCCGGCUUGUCUCCUCCCUCUUCUCGACGAAAACGGCGUUCACGCCACCGUCGCCCAAGUACAGCUGAGCUGGCUUCACCCGUGGAUGAGAGUGACUGUGCAUCACACACUCAGCCCAAGUUUUAUGAUCCCAGACUUCAUGACUUAUCCACCACUGUGAGUAACUCUGUUUUGCCCGCCAUUGUGUUGCCUGAAUUGGAUAACUCCGCCACUGUGUGUUUGGACUCUAAAGACGUUAUUCUGAGUGACACCUCGGUGCCAAGUUAUUCACCAGCUGUCCUAACUAGUGAUCUUUAUGUUCCUGAGCCAUCAGAUUCUUGUAAUGCUCGCAGUGUUUCCUCUGAGUUAGCCAGUAUGAAUGUUUCACCUGUAGAGUUAGCUGAACCAAAGACUGUUAUUCUACACCAGACUCACCUACAUACUGCUACCAGCAUUGUAGCCCCGCAGAACUGUUUUACUCAGCCUGUACAUUCUGAGGUUUCCCAGUCUGAGCUCAGCCACACACCACCACCAUCAUCAGCUCUAGAUGUAACAGUGCAUGCUGAGGAGCACAAACCAUCUGAGACUGAGUGUUCUGUAGCUGAGGCUCCUAGUGACUGUUUCAUGUUCCAAUCCGUUUUGUCUUUUGACGUGUCCAGUGUGGCCCAGUCAGCUCCACAACCAGUGAUUAAUCCAGGGGUGUCCAAACUUUUUUCACUGAGGGCCACAUACAUAAAAAUAUAG